UUGAACCAGAAACUCCUCCAAUUUCAUAUGUGCAGAACUCAGAACCAUGCAGAAAGAAAGUGACCUGCAAGUGGGAGGUUAAUCAGCAAAACUAUUAUUUUUUUGCUGGGCAAGGUGUAAAGAGAUCCAUAACAUUACUGAGCAAAACCUGUGGCAAUGGUCAGCGAGGUAACACAUGCAGAAGAUGAAAUGGAGCCGACUAUCAAACCCAACUUUUAAAACACCAGCACACGAACUCUUUCCCUUGAAGGAUUUCACUGACUUUAAGCCAUUCCUUUUUUUAAAAAAAUAUGUAAAGCUUUUACAGCCAUGUGCCAUCUUUUCCAGAUCUAAGCAGAGAUGUUUGUUUAAAAAUGCUGAUAAAAUAUAAAGAAACCUUCAUGAAAGGAA